UGCCAGCCGCCGCGGUAAUACGGAGGGGGUUAGCGUUGUUCGGAAUUACUGGGCGUAAAGCGCACGUAGGCGGACUGGAAAGUAUGGGGUGAAAUCCCAGGGCUCAACCCUGGAACUGCCUCUCAUACUGGUAGUCUUGAGGUCGAGAGAGGUUAGUGGAAUUCCCAGUGUACAGGUGAAAUUCGUAGAUAUUGGGAAGAACACCAGUGGCGAAGGCGGCUCACUGGCUCGAUACUGACGCUGAGGUGCGAAAGUGUGGGGAGCAAACAGGAUUAGAUA
rnacentral:rRNA from 1 species